AGAGUUUGAUCCUGGCUCAGAAUCAACGCUGGCGGCGUGCCUAACACAUGCAAGUCGAACGAGAAAGUGGAGCAAUCCAUGAGUAAAGUGGCGCACGGGUGAGUAACACGUGACUAACCUACCCUUGAGUGGGGAAUAACCUAGAGAAAUCUGGGCUAAUACCGCAUAACACCUACGGGUCAAAGGAGCAAUUCGCUUAAGGAGGGGGUCGCGGCAGAUUAGCUAGUUGGCGGGGUAAUGGCCCACCAAGGCGGUGAUCUGUAUCCGGCCUGAGAGGGCGCACGGACACACUGGAACUGAAACACGGUCCAGACUCCUACGGGAGGCAGCAGUGGGGAAUUUUGCGCAAUGGGGGAAACCCUGACGCAGCAACGCCGCGUGGAGGAUGAAGUCCCUUGGGACGUAAACUCCUUUCGAUCGGGACGAUUAUGACGGUACCGAGAGAAGAAGCCCCGGCUAACUUCGUGCCAGCAGCCGCGGUAAUACGAGGGGGGCGAGCGUUGUUCGGAAUUAUUGGGCGUAAAGGGUGCGUAGGCGGUUCGGUAAGUCUUAUGUGAAAUCUUCAGGCUCAACUUGAAGUCUGCAUGAGAAACUGCCGGGCUUGAGUGUGGGAGAGGUGAGUGGAAUUUCCGGUGUAGCGGUGAAAUGCGUAGAUAUCGGAAGGAACACCUGUGGCGAAAGCGGCUCACUGGACCAUAACUGACGCUGAUGCACGAAAGCUAGGGGAGCAAACAGGAUUAGAUACCCUAGUAGUCC
rnacentral:rRNA from 1 species